rnacentral:misc_RNA from 1 species
AUCGCGUCGCCACGGCCGCCAUAUUCUUGUCGACGGGUGACGGAAAUUGGCCUCCCGUGCCGCAAGGUGCGGUUGGCCUAAAUGCGAUUCCUUAGCUGGGGAUGUCACGACAAGUGGUGGUUGAAUUACUCAACUCGCGUGUUGUCGCGCCAGUACCCUUAGCGAGAUUAUUUUGACCCUCGAGCCUGAGUUAUCUCAGGCCCUCGACC